rnacentral:rRNA from 1 species
AACGAACGCUGGCGGCAUGCCUAACACAUGCAAGUCGAACGAGACCUUCGGGUCUAGUGGCGCACGGGUGCGUAACGCGUGGGAAUCUGCCCUCUGGUACGGAAUAACUCAGGGAAACUUGAGCUAAUACCGUAUAAUGACUUCGGUCCAAAGAUUUAUCGCCUGAGGAUGAGCCCGCGUCGGAUUAGCUAGUUGGUAGGGUAAAGGCCUACCAAGGCGACGAUCCGUAGCUGGUCUGAGAGGAUGAUCAGCCACACUGGGACUGAGACACGGCCCAGACUCCUACGGGAGGCAGCAGUGGGGAAUAUUGGACAAUGGGGAAAACCCUGAUCCAGCAAUGCCGCGUGAGUGAUGGAGGCCUUAGGGUUGUAAAGCUCUUUUACCCGGGAUGAUAAUGACAGUACCGGGAGAAUAAGCCCCGGCUAACUCCGUGCCAGCAGCCGCGGUAAUACGGAGGGGGCUAGCGUUGUUCGGAAUUACUGGGCGUAAAGCGCACGUAGGCGGCUUUGU